CUUGGGUCAUUUAGAGGAAGUAAAAGUCGUAACAAGGUUUCCGUAGGUGAACCCUGCGGAAGGAUCAUUAUUGAAUUAAACAUGAAGCAGGUUGUUGCUGGCUCUCUGCAUGUGCACACUUGUUUCUGCUUUAUUUCUCCAACUGUGCACACAUUGUAGAUCGUUUUUGGUCUAUGCUUUUCACAAUCUCUGAAUGUAUUAGAAUGCUUUUGAAUCUGGGGAAUAUACAUACAACUUUCAGCAACGGAUCUCUUGGCUCUCGCAUCGAUGAAGAACGCAGCGAAAUGCGAUAAGUAAUGUGAAUUGCAGAAUUCAGUGAAUCAUCGAAUCUUUGAACGCAUCUUGCGCUCCUUGGUAUUCCGAGGAGCAUGCCUGUUUGAGUGUCAUUAAUGUCUCAACCACGCCGUGAGGUCGUGGCUUGGAUUUGGGGGUUACAGGCUCUGAACUUGUGGUCUGCUCCCCUGAAAUACAUGAGCGGUGAACGACCCUCUCCGUCGAGAUGUGAUACAUAUCUGCAUCCAGUUGAGGGUUUUGCUGCUGCGAGAGUUGGAUUUGAUAAACUUGACCUCAAAUCAGGUAGGACCACCCGCUGGGCUUAAGCAUAUCAAUAAGCGGAGGA
rnacentral:rRNA from 1 species